UGCAGUCGAACGAUGACUUCUGUGCUUGCACAGAAUGAUUAGUGGCGAACGGGUGAGUAACACGUGAGUAACCUGCCCUUAACUUCGGGAUAAGCCUGGGAAACUGGGUCUAAUACCGGAUACGACCACCUGGCGCAUGCCAUGGUGGUGGAAAGCUUUAUGCGGUUUUGGAUGGACUCGCGGCCUAUCAGCUUGUUGGUUGGGGUAAUGGCCCACCAAGGCGACGACGGGUAGCCGGCCUGAGAGGGUGACCGGCCACACUGGGACUGAGACACGGCCCAGACUCCUACGGGAGGCAGCAGUGGGGAAUAUUGCACAAUGGGCGAAAGCCUGAUGCAGCGACGCCGCGUGAGGGAUGACGGCCUUCGGGUUGUAAACCUCUUUCAGCAGGGAAGAAGCGAAAGUGACGGUACCUGCAGAAGAAGCGCCGGCUAACUACGUGCCAGCAGCCGCGGUAAUACGUAGGGCGCAAGCGUUAUCCGGAAUUAUUGGGCGUAAAGAGCUCGUAGGCGGUUUGUCGCGUCUGCUGUGAAAGCCCGGGGCUCAACCCCGGGUCUGCAGUGGGUACGGGCAGACUAGAGUGCAGUAGGGGAGACUGGAAUUCCUGGUGUAGCGGUGAAAUGCGCAGAUAUCAGGAGGAACACCGAUGGCGAAGGCAGGUCUCUGGGCUGUAACUGACGCUGAGGAGCGAAAGCAUGGGGAGCGAACAGGAUUAGAUACCCUGGUAGUCCAUGCCGUAAACGUUGGGCACUAGGUGUGGGGGACAUUCCACGUUUUCCGCGCCGUAGCUAACGC
rnacentral:rRNA from 1 species